UUCAUAUUAAUAUACGUAAAUACUUAUAUCCAUGCUUUUUAUAUACCGAAACAGGAUUGGAGGUUCUGGGACAGAUGUGCGCAACAAAUCAAGGACAAUCUCGAAACCUGUUGAGCAUCCUUCUGAGCUUCCAAAGUGGAACUAUGAUGGAUCAAGUACUCGACAAGCACCGGGAGAAGAUAGUGAAGUUAUCUUAUACCCCCAGGCGAUCUUUAAGGUUCCUUUCCGUGGCGGGAACAACAUCUUGGUGAUUGUAAUCUUGGUGAAUUUAAGUA